rnacentral:rRNA from 1 species
GACGAACGCUGGCGGCACGCCUAACACAUGCAAGUCGAGCGAGAACCAGGGCUUCGGCCCUGGGGACAGCGGCGAACGGGUGAGUAUCACGUGGAUAACCUGCCCUCGGCACCGGAAUAGCCCGGGGAAACUCGGAUUAAUGCCGGAUAGCCCUCCCUCCUGCGGGAGGUCGGGAAAAGGUAGCUUCGGCCUCUGGCCGAGGAUGGGUCCGCGGCGGAUUAGCUUGUUGGCGGGGUAAUGGCCCACCAAGGCGACGAUCCGUAGCUGGUCUGAGAGGACGAUCAGCCACACUGGGACUGAGACACGGCCCAGACUCCUACGGGAGGCAGCAGUGGGGAAUCUUGCGCAAUGGGCGAAAGCCUGACGCAGCGACGCCGCGUGCGGGAAGAAGGCCUUAGGGUUGUAAACCGCUUUCAGGAGGGACGAAGCCACUCGGGUGAAUAGCCCAGAGGGUGACGGUACCUCCAGAAGAAGCCCCGGCUAACUACGUGCCAGCCGCCGCAGUAAAAC